rnacentral:rRNA from 1 species
UACGUAGGGCGCAAGCGUUGUCCGGAAUUAUUGGGCGUAAAGAGCUCGUAGGCGGCUUGUCACGUCGGGUGUGAAAGCCCGGGGCUUAACCCCGGGUCUGCAUUCGAUACGGGCAGGCUAGAGUGUGGUAGGGGAGAUCGGAAUUCCUGGUGUAGCGGUGAAAUGCGCAGAUAUCGGGAGGAACACCGGUGGCGAAGGCGGUUCUCUGGGCCUGUACUGACGCUGAGGAGCGAAAGCGUGGGGAGCGAACAGG